GACUCGUGGAGUGAAAGUAGUUAAAUAUUCAGUCUAUACAUAGGUUUUGAAAUAGUUUUUGUAAAUAAUGUAACAUAUUUAUAAUGCUUUUGUGCAGCGAAAAUAUUCAAGUUUGUUUAUAGUUCUCAAGACAUUUAUCCGUUGAACACAAAAGAAUUAGGAAAUAUAAAUAUGCACCAGCAAACAAAGUAUUUUAUUUAAUGUAGUGAACUUUUAAAAACAUAUUAGACAAGUCUGUAUCUUGUUAGCCAAUCAUAGUUUCGGACCGGAUUCUAGUACCCGGGCUUUGAUCGGGCUAGAAAAAACACGACAUGGCCGUCGUCUAGCAAAAAGUGGUUAUUCAACUGUCGGCCAACCAUUUGCAAAGAGUCUUUAGUAAUUAAAUAUUUUAACAACUAUUUUCAUGAAGUGGAGUAUUUUGUUCAAUUAACUGAACGCAGGAUUGUUAAAUAGAUUGUUGUGAAAUAGUUUUGUAGUUAUCAGAACGAAUUUGGAAUAUAUCUAAGAAUUUUCGUAUUUUAGUUGGUAGAAUAUGGUAAAAUUGUAGUUGGUAGUUGUUUGUUAAAAGUAUUGGUAUUUGUUAAAGUUAGCUCAAUUGAAGAUAUUUUCUCAAUAAACUAUGUAUUUAUCGUUUGAAGAGAACAGUUUUUGAAUAAACCAAGCCAAUUUC